GUCUACAGCCAUCCUACCCUGAACACGCCCAGUCCCGUCCAGAAGCUAAGCAGGGUCGGGCCUGGUUAGUACUUGGAUGAGAGACCACCUAGGAAGACCAGAUGCUUUAGGUA
rnacentral:rRNA from 1 species